CAGUAGCCGCGGUAAUACAGAGGGUGCGAGCGUUAAUCGGAUUUACUGGGCGUAAAGCGUGCGUAGGCGGCUUCUUAAGUCGGAUGUGAAAUCCCUGAGCUUAACUUAGGAAUUGCAUUCGAUACUGGGAAGCUAGAGUGUGGGAGAGGAUGGUAGAAUUCCAGGUGUAGCGGUGAAAUGCGUAGAGAUCUGGAGGAAUACCGAUGGCGAAGGCAGCCAUCUGGCCUAACACUGACGCUGAGGUACGAAAGCAUGGGGAGCAAACAGGAUUAGAUACCCCAGUAGUCCCUGUCUCUUAUAC
rnacentral:rRNA from 1 species